ensembl:lncRNA
AGUGAAUCCAGAAAUAUACUUGAUGUGUAUUCUAUCUUGAGAUUUGUACUGCUAGGCAUAUGGAAAGGGGAGGAGGGAUAGCAUCAAAGAUUGCAUGACACAUUAAAUGAAAAAGUCUGGAGCAAGUUAUAUAAGCCUAACUGAGCUCUGAAACGGCUCUGAAACGGAAUCUUGCAGCAUAUCCUGGAAAAGCAAAUGGAUACAGUUCCUUGUACCUAUAUCUGUGAACUUUCAUGGGAGCUCAUGCAGUGGAGUAGCUCAGAUGGAAACAAGAUAUGAUUCAGAGAUACAAGCAUGGACACUGUUAUGGUUUGAGACCUUGUGCACUGAACUACAUCCCCGGCCCUAUUAAAGGUUAUAAGCAGAAAAGGAACAAGCUUUUACAUCAUCUUGAAUUGAUUUUUCAAUAUGUUGCUUGGUAAUGGAGAAACUGGCUCAAGAGUAUGAAAGCAAGUCUGGAUGUGGAUGAGAGAUAAUGGUAACUUGAUAAAGAAAGAAGUGAAAACUAGAGAAAUAUGAAGCAAGGUGAGUCAACAAGCACUUGGAGAAAAUGGCUAAGUGUGAAGACAAAUGUAUUUUCAAGCACAUCUGUUCAGGGGUAGCCCAAGGUCAUAAGACUGGAAAAAGAAUCACAGGGUGAAGGGCAGUCUGUCAUUUGUUUUUAUAGUGUGGUUGAAAACAAUUGUGAAACCUAAUGAGAUUGCCAGAAGCACAGAAUCCUGGUUCAAAUAAGUCAGUGGAGGAAGAUAUAGCAUCUAAAGACUCAUGGAAUCACCACAUAGAUCUGUGUCUCUUUAGAAUUUUAAAGACUCACAGCUACAUCACUGUUAUAACAUUGAUCAUAGUGACUGGACACUGUUCUCACUAACGUGUACACUUACUGACUGAUGAAUCCCAUGACAUUCCUCUGGAGUUUAUAAAGUUUGCCCAUUUCUGCCCACCAGCUGAGGGCAACAUCCCAAGGAGAUGCAGAAAACUUCCCAUACAUUGUAUUUCUUGUUUUCUUUUCUCUUACUAAAGAUUUUUUUCUAUGAAAUAGAACCUGUUCAUAGAGAGAUAAAGGAUUGUGAUUGUGUCCUGGGACAGUUGCCUGUGAGACAUUCAAGAAGGGAGUCAACUAGGUGGUUGGAGGCACUGAUGUGGAGUUAGGUUUAUUUGGUUUGAAGCAAUAAGUUUAUAAGAUGUGAACUUAGCGAUAUAAAAC